GAGGGUAUAGCUCAAGUGGUAGAGCGCAUGCUUAGCAUGCACGAGGUCCUGGGUUUAAUUCCCCAGUAUCUCCU
rnacentral:tRNA from 1 species